GAAGAAGGUGGGGUUUGGCGAGAACCCGGAAGUGGGGCGGGGAAGCGGGCUUGCUGUUCCCGGGUACUUGGGCGCAGGACCGAGAGGGGGCAGGGCGCGUUAGAGCAGAAGGGCGUUCCGGAAGCGGCGCUUGCGCACCUUGGGCGCGAGAUGUUGACUUAGGCCCGCUGCGUACCUAACCCUGCCCCUUGAUAGCUCCGCCUACGGUGGUAAAUAUUGGAAAGGUGAAUUAGCCUCAGCUGCUACUAUCCAGUCCCCGUCGUUCCACCCUCCGUUCUCAGAGGGAAGACUGAGGUGCCGGAUGUGAAGAAGAGGGAGAGCGUGGAGACUUGGAGCCCUAAGUGAGGGGUGGGACGGAUGGCCUGUUUGAGACUCGCACACCCGGGAUCGACUGGGGAUUGGGGGCCCUGGGGGUAGGGACUGAGGGUGUGCGAUCUGGAAGCGAAGGGAGUCGUUGCAGAGGCCGCCAACAGUAUCUUUGGUGGUGGAAUCGCCAGCCUGGGAAGACGGAGACAAGGCGGGCCAGAAGGGGGCGAGUUUGAGGAGAAUCCCUUUUGUAAGGCGGGAAUGUCGGGGAGUCCUGAAUGGGUCCGCAUUCUAACACCCGGACGUAUGAGAGGUCUGCGCCAGCCUGUAGGGACACUUUCAGGGUGUAGCCGUGGUUGGAAAAAAGCUCUUUUUACUUCAGUUCAUUUUUGUUUCCUAAGGUAGUACGUUCACAUUUAAAGACUCAAGAACUUGCAUAAGGCUUUAUUACUCGAAAACUUUUCUCCUACGGGGUUUUCUGUUCUGUGAGGAAAUAUUUUCAAACCUUUGAGAUUUUCUUCUCCAGAAGUUUUAUUUCUUCCUUUUAAAUCUGCCUCUCUGUGUUCUUCAUCAGCUUCUUAUAUUUCAGUUUGAAAUAUUUCUUGAUUUCCUAUGUCUCCUGGCCAUUCUUGCUGCAGUAUGCGUGUAGUCAGCCAUUUGCUUUUCUUUCUCUUUUUCUCGCCAUACCCCAACUACGUUUUGCACUGGUUCCUUUUUGACAUCUCAUCUUGGAGUGAGCUUAGAAUUCAGCCGGUUGCGGGAGUUGGUCCAGCACUUUUUCUCAUGCUCUUAUAUUUUUUCUUUAUUAUUUUGUUAUUAUUUUAUUUUAUUGUAUAGCCGCACCUGUGGCAUACGGAAAUUUUCCUGCUAGGGGUCGAAUCGGAGCUGUAGCCACUAGCCUACGCCAGAGCCACAGCAACGCAGGAUCCAAGCCGCGUCUGCAACCUACACCACAGCUCACGGCAACGCCGGAUUGUUAACCCGCUGAGCAAGGGCAGGGACCGAACCCGCAACCUCAUGGUUCCUAGUCAGAUUCGUUAACCACUGCGCCACGACGGGAACUCCCCUGUUCCUUUUUUCUAAGGUCUGUUGCCAGUAAAGCUGUCUUUCUUUUUUUUUUCCUUUUAUCCUACCCAGUUAUGGAGGUUUUUGGUUUUGUUUUGUCUCUCCUCCCCACCCCCCUCCACCCUGCAGCAUAUGGAAGUUCCCAAGCCAGGGAUUGAAUCUGAGCCAGAUCCUUCAACCCACUUCUCUGGGCCAUGGUUCAAAUCCACACCUCUGCAUCAACUGGAGCCAUAGUUGCAGCAGUGCUGGAUCCUUCAGACACUGCUGGGCUGGGUAUCGAACCUGCGUCCCAGUGCUCCAGAGAUGCAUGGAAAAUUUUAGGCCAUCGCUUUGUUACCAAAAUUUGUGUCUGAUGCACAGUGAGCCCAGACCUACUGAAGUGUUGGAAUUUGGAGCAUAGAAUGGUUUGUUGCAGAGCUAAGCAAAGGGGAUGGGUGAUUCAUGCUCAGAAACCCCAAACUUUCCUCAUUGGUUUUGGGGGAGAAUAUUUACAGGCAAAAUUUGGGGUGAGGGCUGCAGGGUGUGUGAUUUCCUUUUGAUUGGUUGGUACUGAGGUAGCUCCAGGAAUCUUGAGCUCAGCCUAAGUUGACAUCCUCCACCUGGGUGGGGGCCUUAGUUGCAGUAGCAGAACUCCAAUAUACUGUUAAUGUAUAUUCCUUGAGAAGGAACCUGGACCCCACCCCAAGGCUAUAUUGCUAUUUCUUAACUUCCUCCUUUGUUUCUGUAUUCCCUCCCUUCCCAGAAUAGCAACUGUUUGAACCUGCCCUUUGGAAUCCAGGGAAGGUCUUGGAGGCUAUUUAAGACCUAUUUCCUAGAAACAAGAAAUGGGAGUUCUCUGUGGCACAGUGGGUUAAGGCUCUGUCAUUGUCACUGAAGGGGCUUGGAUCCCUGGGAACUACCACAUGCUGUGGGUGUAGACUCCCCCCACUCCCCCCCUAAUGAGAGAGAGAAAUGGGAGACACAGACAGGAUUUGCACCCAGGAGCCCCACAGGGUCCUGCUUGUUUCAAAACCAGGAUCAGAUUCCAGAACUAAGGGAUUAAAAUAGGGAACAUUGUCUGCUAGGAGCCUGAAGUUCAUUGGAAUCUGUCAUUAACAAAUUAAAAUAAUCAGUUCUCUGGUGGCCUAAGGGUUAAGAGG
rnacentral:lncRNA from 1 species